GCGGCGUGCCUAAUACAUGCAAGUCGAACGAACUUCCGUUAAUUGAUUAUGACGUACUUGUACUGAUUGAGAUUUUAACACGAAGUGAGUGGCGAACGGGUGAGUAACACGUGGGUAACCUGCCCAGAAGUAGGGGAUAACACCUGGAAACAGAUGCUAAUACCGUAUAACAGAGAAAACCGCAUGGUUUUCUUUUAAAAGAUGGCUCUGCUAUCACUUCUGGAUGGACCCGCGGCGUAUUAGCUAGUUGGUGAGGUAAAGGCUCACCAAGGCAGUGAUACGUAGCCGACCUGAGAGGGUAAUCGGCCACAUUGGGACUGAGACACGGCCCAGACUCCUACGGGAGGCAGCAGUAGGGAAUCUUCCACAAUGGACGAAAGUCUGAUGGAGCAACGCCGCGUGAGUGAAGAAGGGUUUCGGCUCGUAAAGCUCUGUUGUUAAAGAAGAACGUGGGUAAGAGUAACUGUUUACCCAGUGACGGUAUUUAACCAGAAAGCCACGGCUAACUACGUGCCAGCAGCCGCGGUAAUACGUAGGUGGCAAGCGUUAUCCGGAUUUAUUGGGCGUAAAGCGAGCGCAGGCGGUCUUUUAAGUCUAAUGUGAAAGCCUUCGGCUCAACCGAAGAAGUGCAUUGGAAACUGGGAGACUUGAGUGCAGAAGAGGACAGUGGAACUCCAUGUGUAGCGGUGAAAUGCGUAGAUAUAUGGAAGAACACCAGUGGCGAAGGCGGCUGUCUGGUCUGCAACUGACGCUGAGGCUCGAA
rnacentral:rRNA from 1 species